AUUGAACGCUGGCGGCAGGCCUAACACAUGCAAGUCGAACGGUAGCACAGAGAGCUUGCUCUCGGGUGACGAGUGGCGGACGGGUGAGUAAUGUCUGGGAAACUGCCUGAUGGAGGGGGAUAACUACUGGAAACGGUAGCUAAUACCGCAUAACGUCGCAAGACCAAAGAGGGGGACCUUCGGGCCUCUCACUAUCGGAUGAACCCAGAUGGGAUUAGCUAGUAGGCGGGGUAAUGGCCCACCUAGGCGACGAUCCCUAGCUGGUCUGAGAGGAUGACCAGCCACACUGGAACUGAGACACGGUCCAGACUCCUACGGGAGGCAGCAGUGGGGAAUAUUGCACAAUGGGCGCAAGCCUGAUGCAGCCAUGCCGCGUGUAUGAAGAAGGCCUUCGGGUUGUAAAGUACUUUCAGCGGGGAGGAAGGCGAUAAGGUUAAUAACCUUGUCGAUUGACGUUACCCGCAGAAGAAGCACUGGCUAACUCCGUGCCAGCAGCCGCCGUAA
rnacentral:rRNA from 1 species